ensembl:miRNA mir-83 ncRNA
AGCACCACUCGGAACCACUGAAUUUAUGUGUGUACUUGACGGCCAACAAGAGCAUCGAUCUAGCACCAUAUAAAUUCAGUAAUUUCGCGUCGAGAGCU